rnacentral:rRNA from 1 species
AUGGACAAUGUUGAAGUUACCGCUGCAAGUGGGAUCUCUGGGAAAAGUGGGGUCAUGGUAUGGACCACUUCCAUGACCAACACUAUGCUAGGUUUUUUGGCUGACCUUGUUGCUAAAGGGAAGAGAACUUCUAGUGGAUUCAGGGAGACACAUCUCAAACAAUGUGCUGCUGUUUUGAACGAGCAAUUCAAGCUAGCUAUCACCUCUGAUCAAGUUAGAAACCAUCUCAAGAAGUGGAGGAAGAUUUGGGUCAGGGUUGUCAAUUUGAAGAAUUUAAGUGGAGCUCUAUGGGAUGAAGAUACUUGCACAAUUAGGCUGAGUGAAGAACACUAUGCAGGUCACUGUAUGGUAAGCUUCUUGUAA